rnacentral:sRNA from 1 species
GGCUGGGGAGGGAGGUAUCUCUUACCUCCCUCACCGAUCCAUAUGCAUCCUUCCUGAACCCACAGGUUUGGUUAAAGAACUCUGCCUUCCCCGACAGAGGAGGACCACUGUUUUGUCAAGGGAACAUGAAUUGCUGGGUUUCUCUCCUAGGACCUCCAAAUAACUCUCAAGAUCCUCUCUGGAGGGAAGCAUUUACUUAUAUCUUCUUUAUGCUCCUCAGA